UGCCCAGCAACUCCUAUCCCUACCUCCUCGUGGUACCGGCCGGAAACUAUGAGCAACCUUAGGGAAG
rnacentral:ribozyme from 1 species